rnacentral:rRNA from 1 species
AGCAGCCGCGGUAAUUCCAGCUCCAAUAGCGUAUAUUAAAGUUGUUGCAGUUAAAAAGCUCGUAGUUGAAUUUCGGGGUCAAUACGUCGGUCGUGCCUCGGUACGCACUAACGUUAUUGAUUCCUCCCUUCUGACGAACCGUGAUGUCAUUAAUUUGGUGUUGCGGGGAAUCAGGACUGUUACCUUGAAAAAAUUAGAGUGUUUAAAGCAGGCAAUCGCUCGAAUACAUUAGCAUGGAAUAAUGAAAUAGGACGUUCGAACCUAUCUUGUUGGUUUCUAGGAUCGACGUAAUGAUUAAUAGGGAUAGUUGGGGGCAUUAGUAUUCAAUUGUCAGAGGUGAAAUUCUUGGAUUUAUUGAAGACUAACUACUGCGAAAGCAUUUGCCAAGGAUGUUUUCAUUAAUCAAGAACGAAAGUUAGGGGAUCGAAGACGAUCAGAUACCGUCGUAGUCUUAACCAUAAACUAUGCCGACUAGGGAUCGGAUGAUGUUAAUUUUUUAAUGACUCAUUCGGCGCCUUACG